rnacentral:rRNA from 1 species
AUGAAGACUGGUGCUUGCACUGGUUGGAUUAGUGGCGAACGGGUGAGUAAUACGUGAGUAACCUGCCUUUGACUCUGGGAUAAGCCUGGGAAACUGGGUCUAAUACCGGAUAUGACAAGGAACCGCAUGGUUUUUUGUGGAAAGGGUUUGUACUGGUUUUAGAUGGGCUCACGGCCUAUCAGCUUGUUGGUGGGGUAAUGGCUCACCAAGGCGACGACGGGUAGCCGGCCUGAGAGGGUGACCGGCCACACUGGGACUGAGACACGGCCCAGACUCCUACGGGAGGCAGCAGUGGGGAAUAUUGCACAAUGGGCGCAAGCCUGAUGCAGCGACGCCGCGUGAGGGAUGACGGCCUUCGGGUUGUAAACCUCUUUCAGCAGGGAAGAAGCGAAAGUGACGGUACCUGCAGAAGAAGCGCCGGCUAACUACGUGCCAGCAGCCGCGGUAAUACGUAGGGCGCGAGCGUUGUCCGGGAAAUUAUUGGGCGUAAAGAGCUUGUAGGCGGUUUGUUGCGUCUGCUGUGAAAGACCGGGGCUUAACCCCGGUAUUGCAGUGGGUACGGGCAGACUAGAGUGCAGUAGGGGAGACUGGAAUUCCUGGUGUAGCGGUGAAAUGCGCAGAUAUCAGGAGGAACACCGAUGGCGAAGGCAGGUCUCUGGGCUGUAACUGACGCUGAGAAGCGAAAGCAUGGGGAGCGAACAGGAUUAGAUACCCUGGUAGUCCAUGCCGUAAACGUUGGGCACUAGGUGUGGGGGACAUUCCACGUUUUCCGCGCCGUAGCUAACGCAUUAAGUGCCCCGCCUGGGGAGUACGGCCGCAAGGCUAAAACUCAAAGGAAUUGACGGGGGCCCGCACAAGCGGCGGAGCAUGCGGAUUAAUUCGAUGCAACGCGAAGAACCUUACCAAGGCUUGACAUAUACUGGACCGCCUCAGAGAUGGGGUUUCCCUUCGGGGCUGGUAUACAGGUGGUGCAUGGUUGUCGUCAGCUCGUGUCGUGAGAUGUUGGGUUAAGUCCCGCAACGAGCGCAACCCUCGUUCUAUGUUGCCAGCACGUUAUGGUGGGGACUCAUAGGAGACUGCCGGGGUCAACUCGGAGGAAGGUGGGGAUGACGUCAAAUCAUCAUGCCCCUUAUGUCUUGGGCUUCACGCAUGCUACAAUGGCCGGUACAAAGGGUUGCGAUACUGUGAGGUUGAGCUAAUCCCAAAAAGCCGGUCUCAGUUCGGAUUGGGGUCUGCAACUCGACCCCAUGAAGUCGGAGUCGCUAGUAAUCGCAGAUCAGCAACGCUGCGGUGAAUACGUUCCCGGGCCUUGUACACACCGCCCGUCAAGUCACGAAAGUUGGUAACACCCGAAGCCGAUGGCCUAACCCUU